rnacentral:rRNA from 1 species
UCCGUAGGGGGCUAGCGUUGUCCGGAAUCAUUGGGCGUAAAGCGCGUGUAGGCGGUCCGGUAAGUCCGCUGUGAAAGUCGGGGGCUCAACCCUCGGAUGCCGGUGGAUACUGUCGGGCUUGAGUACGGAAGAGGCGAGUGGAAUUCCUGGUGUAGCGGUGAAAUGCGCAGAUAUCAGGAGGAACACCAAUUGCGAAGGCAGCUCGCUGGGCAACUGCUGACACUGAGGCGCGACAGCGUGGGGAGCAAACAGG